AAGUCUGAACGGAGCAACGCCGCGUGAGUGAUGAAGGCUUUCGGGUCGUAAACUCUGUUGUUAGGGAAGAACAAGUACAAGAGUAACUGCUUGUACCUUGACGGUACCUAACCAGAAAGCCACGGCUAACUACGUGCCAGCAGCCGCGGUAAUACGUAGGUGGCAAGCGUUAUCCGGAAUUAUUGGGCGUAAAGCGCGCGCAGGCGGUUUCUUAAGUCUGAUGUGAAAGCCCACGGCUCAACCGUGGAGGGUCAUUGGAAACUGGGGAACUUGAGUGCAGAAGAGAAAAGCGGAAUUCCACGUGUAGCGGUGAAAUGCGUAGAGAUGUGGAGGAACACCAGUGGCGAAGGCGGCUUUUUGGUCUGUAACUGACGCUGAGGCGCGAAAGCGUGGGGAGCAAACAGGAUUAGAUACCCGCGGUAGU
rnacentral:rRNA from 1 species